UUCUCACACUCUGGUUUUCUCUCCUUGCUUUCUGAAUGAAUAGCCAGCUUCUUUUAUCUCCUUGCAUGUUGCUGGGUUCUUCUUCCAAGGUCAACACCUUGAGCCUUGAGCUUUACCAACCCACAGAUUCACUUUUUCACCUUAAUCCUUAGAGUAGAAACUUUGCUUCUGACUCCUUCAUCUUGACCGAAAGCCUUAAAUCAGUAACCAUAGAAAUCUUCUCAUGGUCAACUUGAUCUUAGCCAUUGAAAGACUACUUGGUUUCCAAGUAUCACUUGUAACCGUAGAUGUGAAGCAGAAUAGGGCAGAGAACAACUUUCCCUUGAAUGCCAUUUUCGGAUAGAGCAGAGAAUUGGAAAGAAGGGAAGAAGAUUCGAUGCAAGCAAGAUGAGAUGGAUUACCUUUAACCUAAGCUUGAUUUGGACUAGAUUUUCUGCUUUAACUUCUGUGCUUCAAGUUUCAACUUUCUCUCUCUUACUUCUUUGGUUACUAGCUUAUGGAGGAAGCUUUUUCUCCCUUUCUCUUUUUUUCUUUUCUGAAGUCUUGAUUUGACUUGAUUAGAGAGGAGAGGAACGUUGCUUUGGUAAGAACAAGAUGGAGGGAGUUGAAAUCAAUUCGGGCUUGGAUUGGGUAUCCAUUUGCUUGGCCCGUUUUGAUUUCUCAACUUUGAUUCCUUUUGGGCUUUGUUUAUUUCAUUAACCCAUUAGCCUUGUUUUAUUUUCCAUUCCAUUUAGGCUGUAAUUCAGAUUUUGGCCUGCAGCAAUUUUAUAAAUAAUUAGUAAUAUGCAAUUAUAAUUAAUCAACACUAAUUAUUUAUUUGCCCAAAAAUAAUGUUUUUCAUCACUAAUUAAUUUAGUUAAUUUCUUAACUCAACAUUCUCCAUAUGCACAGUAACGGUUCCACAGAUGGGAACGGACAACAAAGAUUUCUAAAAUCCUUGAGCAGGUCUCCUCUAACAUUGUAUAUGAAGUACUCUAGUUUAUCAUAAUCUCUUCCAAUAAUAUCACCAUUACUGGAUAAGCCCAAUGGCAGAAAGACUUUGCAAGGAAUCUGAUAGAGAGUCCAAGAUGAGUGCACUUUAUAUUCUUUCAUCACCUAUAUCUCAGUGUUACAGCUAUCAGAUACAAGGCUAGGCAGCCUCCUAGUAGGGUGAGACCGUGACCUGGAUAGGGGUAUGAACUCGUUCCCAGUUGUUCUGGGGCAGAUAUCAUUGAGAAAGUCCUUUCUUGUAGAUCAAAGUAAAGAAUAGCAUCCCUGAAAUCUUUAAGAUAGGAAGACACCCAAUGAAUAGCGCCAUUAAAGAACAACCUACGAGAAUGACCGUGAUAAAAACCCAAAGGGAUUAGGAAGUACAGCGUCAAGAUUAAUCCAUGAAUUGGUUCUCAUGGACAAGCAUUCCAAGUGAUCUUCUUGACUUUCAGAAUCGCUCCAAGCUACAACAACUCAGUAAUCAUCCUGUGAUGCAUCAUAACCAAAUCCAUGUAGACGCCAACCGUAUUUAAACCUAAAGUCAAAGUACUUAUAUGGAACAACAUGAGAAUAGGAUAUUCUUUUGUUGAAUCCAGUCAGUGGGUUCCAUGCCACAAGAAAAAGUGGAGGUCGAUCCAAGAGAAUAAAGCCUCUGCAGGAUCCCACGACAGCAAAUUCAUAAGGUGGUUUCUUCUCGAAAGGGGGACACACCUUUUUUUUGUGAUGCAUUAUUGUCAUAUAAGUAAACCAAGUAAGCCAUAGUGGGGUUUUCUAUUAAGAAGCAUAUCUUGUUGGCAGCGGAAGAGUGGUGAAAAUGAAAUUCCGCAAAGUCAGGAUCAGAAAUUAGAGAGUACCAGAGGUUGAAAACGCACCUGAGGCGAGCGAAAUGUCUGAUCGGCACCCGCAAUAGGAUUAUGUGAAUCAGGUCAAGAGGGAGGAUGUCGUGAAUGCUAUUGCUCUUGUCAUUCAUCGUCUUCUUCUCCAUGGUGGAUU
rnacentral:lncRNA from 1 species